UUGUUGGCUUCCCUCCCCUCCUCUUCCAUUCUUUUCCUCCUCUUCUGUUUCUGUGUCUCUGUUUCUGCCAUUCUCUUUAUCUCUCUGUCUCUGUCUCCCUGUCUCUCUCCCUCCCUCCCUCCUCCCCUCCCCCAUCCCUCCUCUCCUUUCCCUGCCACAAAUUGGCUUUUGCCUAUUGUACAUACAGAGCUUUAGUCAUAAGUUAGAGGUAAUGAUCAUUAACCACAUGUUCCAAAUUACAGUAUCAGCUUUGCACAUUCCCCUGUGUAGCAAUCUGGUUUUCUAGCCAUAAGAGAAAGCCGUCGUCGUCACUAGUUUGCAGCAUGUUUGUAAGAAAAAUGAGCAACAGAAGUUCAAAUCAGGCGUCUUAGAGAGUGCAUGAACUGGGAGUGAUUGGAAGUUUCGUUUAAAUAGCAAAUAACAUGCUCCGUGUUCCAAUUUUUGUUGCUGUUGUCCACCACCUCCAUUUCUUUGGGGACUGUAACUCAUUUGAAGAGCUCUGGAGUGGAAAACCCAGGAGCAGACAAGAAUUCUCAGGGAUCUUUUCACUGAUCAUCCCUGUUCUUUCCCUCCAUCCUCCUUGUGGCCAGGAUCUCAUGUUUGUAAGACACCUGGUGAAGGCUUUAACAAGAAACCAGAACAAGCCCCAAUCACAGGAACUAUGGAAAAAAGCUCAAGUAAAGGAAUUUCAGUUUCCUGAAAGUUGAGCUCUGUGUCCUUCUUGUUCAUUUGUAUGUGUUAAAAAAAAAAAGGGUUUGGCUCCAUCACUAAGCAACAAAGAGCAAGAAGAACAACAAUGUCAUCAUCAUCAUCAUCAUCAUCAUCAUCAUCAUCAUCAUCAUCAACAGAAACAACAACAACAUUGGAGCCCCGGAGUAUCAAAUGAAUCCUAAUCCAUAAGCACUUGUCCUUUCCCUUUAUUCAAGGUAUCUGGCUCUUUCCCCUUGGAGCCAAAUCAGAUUUUAAAAGGCAUAUUGCCUUUCAACUUCUCAUCAGUUAGAUUAAAUUUCUGGUUGACUUUGGUUUGAAUUCUUUUUUAUUUGAAAGAGAAAAAGGUGAAUUUAUGUAGGUGUUUUACUUUUAAAAAUUCAAUAAUUCUGGUUAUUGCUCUAUUCAUUAGAUAGCUAGCAUUUCCCAUACCUCCCAGUUUUAAACACAUUGACUUAAAUGGAAAUCUCUAAUGCAAUGUUCUAAGAAACUAUUGUUGGUCCUGUACUGUUCAACACUUCUAUCAGUGCUUUGUAUGAAGAUCUAAAUGAUACUUUUAUAAAAUUUGCCAAUAACAUGAAACUUUAAGGCACAGAUGACACAUUGGAUGACAUAGUCAAGGUCCAAGAAAGUACUGGAGGCUAGAAUAAUAGUACUUUAUCAAAGGCAAUGAAAUUAUAUAUGGACAAGUAGAAAGUACCAGAUGGAGUCAAAUGAUUCAGGAUGGAAGAGUGAUAAUAAGAUACUAUUUUUUUCCUAGGGAAAAGAAAAGGGCAUCUUAAUAGACAAAAAGCUCACUCUGAAUCAACAUGACAUGGAAAUUAGCUAAGCAAAUUAGAAUACAUAUCUAUUUACAUUAAAAGAGGCAUGAUUGUAAAUAAUGAUUAUCUAGCCUCUUUGGUCUUAGGACCCCUUUACACUUUUAAUAUUAAAACUCCCCAAAAGCUUUUGCUAAUAUCACUUAAAUACAUCACCAUUUACUCUAAUAGAAAUUAAACUUCUAACGUAUUAAAGUAUGCUUUAUUUAUUUUCUUUUAAAUAAUAUUAAGCACAUUGUGAAUAACUAUAAAUUCAUAUUGUUGCGGAAAGUUACUAUAUUUUUAAAAACAACAAAAAGAAGUGAGAAGAUGGCCAUUGCUGUUCAUUUUUUGAAAAUCUCUUUAAUGUCUAGCCUAAUAAAAGACAUCUGGAUUCUCA
rnacentral:lncRNA from 1 species